rnacentral:rRNA from 1 species
GUUCCAGACUCCUACGGGAGGCAGCAGUGGGGAAUAUUGCACAAUGGGGGAAACCCUGAUGCAGCAACGCCGCGUGAGUGAAGAAGUAUUUCGGUAUGUAAAGCUCUAUCAGCAGGGAAGAAGAAGGACGGUACCUGACUAAGGAGCCCCGGCUAACUACGUGCCAGCAGCCGCGGUAAUACGUAGGGGGCGAGCGUUAUCCGGAUUUACUGGGUGUAAAGGGAGCGUAGACGGUUAAUCAAGUCUGAAGUGAAAGCCCGCGGCUCAACUGCGGAACGGCUUUGGAAACUGAGUAACUGGAGUGCUGGAGGGGCAGGCGGAAUUCCUGGUGUAGCGGUGAAAUGCGUAGAUAUUAGGAGGAACACCAGUGGCGAAGGCGGCUUACUGGACUGUAACUGACGUUGAGGCUCGAAAGCGUGGGGAGCAAACAGGAUUAGAUACCCUCGUA